rnacentral:rRNA from 1 species
CCUACGGGCGGCAGCAGUGGGGAAUAUUGGACAAUGGGGGCAACCCUGAUCCAGCCAUGCCGCGUGUGUGAAGAAGGCCCUCGGGUUGUAAAGCACUUUCAGUGAGGAAGAACGCCUGGUGGUUAAUACCCAUCAGGAAAGACAUCACUCACAGAAGAAGCACCGGCUAACUCCGUGCCAGCAGCCGCGGUAAUACGGAGGGUGCGAGCGUUAAUCGGAAUUACUGGGCGUAAAGCGCGCGUAGGUGGCUUGAUAAGCCGGUUGUGAAAGCCCCGGGCUCAACCUGGGAACGGCAUCCGGAACUGUCAAGCUAGAGUGCAGGAGAGGAAGGUAGAAUUCCCGGUGUAGCGGUGAAAUGCGUAGAGAGCGGGAGGAAUACCAGUGGCGAAGGCGGCCUUCUGGACUGACACUGACACUGAGGUGCGAAAGCGUGGGUAGCAAACAGGAUUAGAUACCCUGGUAGUC